GAUGAACGCUGGCGGCGUGCCUAAUACAUGCAAGUCGAGCGAACGGACGAGAAGCUUGCUUCUCUGAUGUUAGCGGCGGACGGGUGAGUAACACGUGGAUAACCUACCUAUAAGGCUGGGAUAACUUCGGGAAACCGGAGCUAAUACCGGAUAAUAUUUUGAACCGCAUGGUUCAAAAGUAAAAGACGGUCUUGCUGUCACUUAUAGCUGGAUCCGCGCUGCAUUAGCUAGUUGGUAAGGUAACGGCUUACCAAGGCAACGAUGCAUAGCCGACCUGAGAGGGUGAUCGGCCACACUGGAACUGAGACACGGUCCAGACUCCUACGGGAGGCAGCAGUAGGGAAUCUUCCGCAAUGGGCGAAAGCCUGACGGAGCAACGCCGCGUGAGUGAUGAAGGUCUUCGGAUCGUAAAACUCUGUUAUUAGGGAAGAACAUAUGUGUAAGUAACUGUGCACAUCUUGACGGUACCUAAUCAGAAAGCCACGGCUAACUACGUG
rnacentral:rRNA from 1 species